CGUGAUGUCGUUCAGCAGCAGGAGUCGUGUCUGAUACACACGGAACCUGGGUGCAAUUCCCAGCAUCACGACCA
rnacentral:tRNA from 1 species